rnacentral:rRNA from 1 species
CACUCCUACGGGAGGCAGCAGUGAGGAAUAUUGGACAAUGGGUGGAAGCCUGAUCCAGCCAUCCCGCGUGCAGGAAGACGGCCCUAUGGGUUGUAAACUGCUUUUAUCUGGGGAUAAACCUACUUACGUGUAAGUAGCUGAAGGUACCAGAAGAAUAAGCACCGGCUAACUCCGUGCCAGCAGCCGCGGUAAUACGGAGGGUGCAAGCGUUAUCCGGAUUUAUUGGGUUUAAAGGGUCCGUAGGCGGACUGAUAAGUCAGUGGUGAAAUCCGACAGCUUAACUGUCGAACUGCCAUUGAUACUGUUAGUCUUGAGUAAGGUUGAAGUGGCUGGAAUAAGUAGUGUAGCGGUGAAAUGCAUAGAUAUUACUUAGAACACCAAUUGCGAAGGCAGGUCACUAAGUCUUAACUGACGCUGAUGGACGAAAGCGUGGGGAGCGAACAGGAUUAGAAACCCCGGUAGUCCCAUGAU